CACCCGAAACUGAUUUAGCUAACUGUAAAAAGAGGCGAUCAGUGAAGGUGAAGAGGGUGAUUGGGGUGAAGUCGUAACAAGGUAGCAGUAGGUGAACCUGCAGAAGGAUCA
rnacentral:rRNA from 1 species